rnacentral:lncRNA from 1 species
GGGGGCGAUCCCCACACAUCAAAACCCUAAAUCUUCACCAAACUUGCAAAUUGAAGGCUCAAUCCAAGUCAAAAUCGAAAAUCAAGCAUAGAUUAUUGAUCCCCAUUGCAAGAGGGUUGUAAGGUAUGUAAAAUUUGAUGUUAAUUCUCUUUUGUCGCCUAACGAGCUAGGUGGAGGCUUGGGAUAGAAGUGGUCAAACGAAUCAAGCACGAGAAGAAAAGCAUAUUCGGAUGCGAGGUAAGUGGAGCUUACGCCCCUUUACAUUGCUUGCAAAAUUACUUAAUUUCAAGUAUUGCAUAUGAAUGCUACUAAGUGUUGGUAUACAAUGUUCCGACACGAUUCAAUGAGAGUCGGAACAAGGGAAAAUGGUAGAAAUCAUGAAUCAUGGUAAAAGGAGUAAAAAGGUAAAUUAGUCAUGUAAUGACGAACAAAUAAAAACGGUUUUAAGUAAAACAAGUUAAAGGAAAACCGGGUUAGGUUUAAAGGGAUGAAAUGGUAACUAAGUACCAUCUCAUAUGGAUAAAUGGCAAAUUAGACUAAAUGGGUCAAAUGGUGUUGUUAGCACCAUUUGACAAUUACAUUUGACAAUCGCUUGUUGAGUUUUGUAAUCACAGGAAAUAACAUAAGUAUGCGUUGCUUAAACUAGAAAGCUUUAAAGCAAAAGUUAUGUAAACGGGUCAAUACCUUGACCCGAGCCAGGUACGUUUAAAUAUGCUUUUGGUUAAACAUACAAUUUUUGGUCAAAUAUUUAGCGAAAGCCCUUCGUCGUAUAGUGAUUCAUAUUCGUGGGUCAAAUGCUCAAAAACGGUCAUUUGCGUAAAAUGAUCAACCAAUGGGUAAAUUUGGGAAAAAGGGAUUCAUUAUGUUAAAUCCGCCACAAAAUAGUUGUGGUGGAAUAUUUGUAGUUAAUUAGACAUGGACUUUUGUGGCGUCAAAAGAAAAGCACAAGUUCUAGACUAAAAUGCGUAAAUACCUCAAACGGGUCAAAAUAAGCAUAUGGGUGAAAUGGAUUAAAGAAGGUAUAUAAUUCUAUAAUCGGAACCUAAUAUGUUAGACAUUAUUGAAUUUAAUAGGUUGGUGAGAAAUAAGGGUCGAACAAACUUGUAUGUUUGAUAAAAUCACAAACGGGUCAAAUUUUGGUAAAAGAGUAUUAAGCCGAAGACUUAAAAGUCUUAAAUUUUAUCAAGCCGGAUAUCGGAUUUCAACACUAUAUGAUGGAGAAUCAAAUUUUAAACAUGCAGGAAGAAACGGUAAGUCAAACGGAUAAGCGGUUUGAAAGAUACGAAAGAUUUCGUGUCAAAUUACGGCAAAAUGGAAAAGUUGCAUACAGGGCCCACCGUAACUUACGGUGCCACCGUAAGUUACGGU